CUCGAGUGAGGACACGCCGCGUGAGUGAUGAGGCUUUCGGGUCGUAAACUCUGUUGUUAGGGAGAAAAGUGCUAGUUGAAUAAGCUGGCACCUUGACGGUACCUACCAGAAAGCCACGGCUAACUACGUGCCAGCAGCCGCGGUAAUACGUAGGUGGCAAGCGUUAUCCGGAAUUAUUGGGCGUAAAGCGCGCGCAGGUGGUUUCUUAAGUCUGAUGUGAAAGCCCACGGCUCAACCGUGGAGGGUCAUUGGAAACUGGGAGACUUAGUGCAGAAGAGGAAAGUGGAAUUCCAUGUGUAGCGGUGAAAUGCGUAGAGAUAUGGAGG
rnacentral:rRNA from 1 species